rnacentral:rRNA from 1 species
GAUGAACGCUGGCUGCGUGCUUAACACAUGCAAGUCGAACGGUGAAGCAGGAGCUUGCUCCUGUGGAUCAGUGGCGAACGGGUGAGUAACACGUGAGCAAUCUGCCCUGGACUCUGGGAUAAGCGUUGGAAACGACGUCUAAUACCGGAUACGAGGCGUGGGGGCAUCCCCAACGCCUGGAAAGAAUUUCGGUCCAGGAUGAGCUCGCGGCCUAUCAGGUAGUUGGUGAGGUAACGGCUCACCAAGCCUACGACGGGUAGCCGGCCUGAGAGGGUGACCGGCCACACUGGGACUGAGACACGGCCCAGACUCCUACGGGAGGCAGCAGUGGGGAAUAUUGCACAAUGGGCGCAAGCCUGAUGCAGCAACGCCGCGUGAGGGACGACGGCCUUCGGGUUGUAAACCUCUUUUAGCAGGGAAGAAGCGAAAGUGACGGUACCUGCAGAAAAAGCACCGGCUAACUACGUGCCAGCCGCCGCAGUAAGAC